GUCCACGCUGUAAACGAUGGGUACUAGGUGUCGCGGGUGUUGACCCCUGCGGUGCCGCAGCUAACGCAUUAAGUACCCCGCCUGGGGAUUACGGUCGCAAGAUUAAAACUCAAAGGAAUUGACGGGGCCCGCACAAGCGGUGGAGCAUGUGGUUUAAUUCGACGCAACGCGAAGAACCUUACCUGGGCUAGACAACGGUGGACCACCCUGGAGACAGGGUUUUCCCUCGGGGACUGCCGGUUCAGGUGCUGCAUGGCUGUCGU
rnacentral:rRNA from 1 species